rnacentral:rRNA from 1 species
GACGAACGCUGGCGGCGUGCUUAACACAUGCAAGUCGAGCGGAAAGGCCUUUCGGGGUACUCGAGCGGCGAACGGGUGAGUAACACGUGAGUAAUCUGCCCUGCACUCUGGGAUAGCCAUCGGAAACGGUGAUUAAUACUGGAUAUGAACAGUUCCCGCAUGGGGGUUGUUGGAAAGUUUUUUCGGUGCAGGAUGUGCUCGCGGCCUAUCAGCUUGUUGGUGGGGUAAUGGCCUACCAAGGCUUCGACGGGUAGCCGGCCUGAGAGGGUG